GAUCCUGGCUCAAAUUGAACGCUGGCGGCAUGCCUCCCUCUUGCAAGUCGAACGGCAGCGCGGGUGCUUGCACCUGGCGGCGAGUGGCGAACGGGUGAGUAAUACAUCGAAACGUGCCCUAAAGUGGGGGAUAACUAGUCAAAAGAUUAGCUAAUACCGCAUACAAUCUACGGAUGAAAGUGGGGGACCGCAAGGCCUCAUGCUCCUGGAGCGGCCGAUGUCUGAUUAGCUAGUUGGUGGGGUAAUGGCCUACCAAGGCAACAAUCAGUAGCUGGUCUGAGAGGACAACCAGCCACACUGGGACUGAGACACGGCCCAAACUCCUACGGGAGGCAGCAGUGGGGAAUUUUGGACAAUGGGGGCAACCCUGAUCCAGCAAUGCCGCGUGUGUGAAGAAGGCCUUCGGGUUGUAAAGCACUUUUGUCAGGAACGAAACGGUGGGGGCUAAUACCUUCUGCUAAUGACGGUACCUGAAGAAUAAGCACCGGCUAACUACGUG
rnacentral:rRNA from 1 species